rnacentral:lncRNA from 1 species
AACAGAACAGAACAGAACAGAACAGAACAGAACUGAGAAACAAAACAGAGAUAGGCCUACCAAGUUAUAUUUUUACUAAGGUAGCUAAACCAUUGGGAAAAAGGCCUACUCAACAAAUGGUGCUGUCAAAACUGAAUAUCCAUUUGCAGAAGAAUGAGAUUUCUUUUCAUUCUUUGACCUUGUUCAGAAAUCCAUUUUGAAAUGGAUCAAAGACCUUAAUUUAAAAAUUCAAAAAGCUGAAAACAGAAAACACUUGUUAAAACUUAGGGUAGGCAACAACUUUCUGAACAGAACUUCAACUUCACAGGGACUUGCUCCCAAUGUCAAAAGACAGGACUACAUGAAAUUGAAGCAAGGAAACUAACAGCAAGAUGCUCAGACACAGAACGGAAAAAGGUUCACCAGCUUCAUCCCAGGCAAGGGGUUGCCUGCCCAGCAUUUUCUGAUACUAUGAGAGACAGUCCUCAAAGAAGAAGUUUCCAGGACACGUGUCAGUGCUGAGACAGCUCAAGACUGGAGGAACAGCCAGGCCUUCCAGAGACAACAGUCAAACAGAACAAAACAGGAUACGCUAAGACAACGCAAAAGCACUCAAGCCAACGGCAACCCAACAGGAGGAAGAGUCUCAGGAACAGGCAAGAGUCAAAGAUGCUCCAGCUCCCGCUAUUAGGAGUCCCACAAAACCAGCAAGCUACUAGUCAUAGUAUCUACGCAGAGGACCUGGUACAGACCCAUGCAUGUCUGCCCCAUGCUCGUCACUUCAAUCUCUGUGAGCCCACAAAGCC